rnacentral:rRNA from 1 species
GAUGAACGCUGGCGGCGUGCUUAACACAUGCAAGUCGAACGGAACUUGUCUGAUAGAGGAUUCGUCCAAUUGAUUACAAGUUUAGUGGCGGACGGGUGAGUAACGCGUGAGGAACCUGCCUUGGAGUGGGGAAUAACACAGUGAAAAUUGUGCUAAUACCGCAUAAUGCAGUUGAGUCGCAUGGCUCUGACUGCCAAAGAUUUAUCGCUCUAAGAUGGCCUCGCGUCUGAUUAGCUAGUUGGUAGGGUAACGGCCUACCAAGGCGACGAUCAGUAGCCGGACUGAGAGGUUGGCCGGCCACAUUGGGACUGAGACACGGCCCAGACUCCUACGGGAGGCAGCAGUGGGGAAUAUUGGGCAAUGGGCGCAAGCCUGACCCAGCAACGCCGCGUGAAGGAAGAAGGCUUUCGGGUUGUAAACGUUACUUUUGUCAGGGACGAAGUAAAUGACGGUACCUGACGAAUAAGCCACGGCUAACUACGUGCCAGCAGCCG